CUGAACCUUUAUGAUUAGUAAUUAAUUCUUAUUCUUAUUGUUGCAGAGUGUUCCUGUACAAACUGGGCAAACACCACCCCUUUUGCAGUAUUUUGGUACUCUCUAGAUCAAAGAAAAGCUUAAUGCUUUCGAGUCAUUGGAACUAUCACGUCUUGUUGUGAACCAGAACAAGAAUAAUCUGUUGGAAAAUUGGCUAGCAGAAGACAAAUUAGAAUGCAGCGAGGAGCUAGGAGAUCUUGUGAAGUAUCUAGCUUCUGUUCUGCUUCUACUUCUGGGGGUCUCUACUAUUGGAGUACCAAGCUUGCUGGCCCAAAAUGGUCACCAUUUGCCUCAUGGAUAACUGGCUGGAGAAAAAUGUCUCUUUCUCCAUCAAUUGGAGGAGAAAAUAAUACUUAAUUUUGAAGGCUUUGUGUUGGGCAGUUGUAGAAUAUUUUGUGCUGAAAGUAGUAACUUUUCAAUAUGUUGAAUAUUUAAGACUACUUGAAUACU